CAUUAUUAUUAUCUUACUAUUAGGUCUUCUACUCAUCACCCAAUCUAUUUGCUCUUCUACCCAACGUCUCUCUCUCUCUCUCUCUCUCUCUCUCUCUCUCAUAUACCUGAAAACAUACGAGGAACAUGAAAAUUGGAAAUUAUUAUAAGAUUAGUUUUGUAUGACUGAAAUUGGUGACAAAUGAACAUAUCCCAGAAUCCCUCCGCUGAAGAACAGAAGAUCUUAUUUCUUUCUGGAUUCAUCUAUCUACAGGUUUCAUUUAUUGAAGCAUAUGGUGGGGGCAAAUGAGUCAAUACGACAUACAAGAUUGAAGAUGAUAUCAUAUGGGAUAAAUUUGUAGUAAAACCAUGAUAAGAGAAAUUACUGAAAAAGAUUAUUAAAUACACAAGAAUCAAGAUACAUUAGAUAGAUUACAAGGAGGAUUGAAUUAAACAGCUAAUCACAAAAUGUAUAUAUAUAUAUAAAUUGUACAAAAUACAAGAGAUAGUGGAAGCAUUAGUUAAUUUUAAGCCA